AUUGAACGCUGGCGGCAUGCCUUACACAUGCAAGUCGAACGGUAACGCGGGGCAACCUGGCGACGAGUGGCGAACGGGUGAGUAAAGCAUCGGAACGUGCCCAGUAGUGGGGGAUAGCCCGGCGAAAGCCGGAUUAAUACCGCAUACGACCUAUGGGUGAAAGGGGGGGAUCGCAAGACCUCUCGCUAUUGGAGCGGCCGUUGUCAGAUUAGGGAGUUGGUGGGGUAAAGGCCUACCAAGCCGACGAUCUGUAGCUGGUCUGAGAGGACGACCAGCCACACUGGGACUGAGACACGGCCCAGACUCCUACGGGAGGCAGCAGCGGGGAAUUGUGGACAAUGGGCGCAAGCCUGAUCCAGCCAUGCCGCGUGCGGGAAGAAGGCCUUCGGGUUGUAAACCGCUUUUGUCAGGGAAGAAAUCCUUUGGGUUAAUACCUCGGGGGGAUGACGGUACCUGAAGAAUAAGCACCGGCUAACUACGUGCCAGCCGCCGCGGUAA
rnacentral:rRNA from 1 species